rnacentral:rRNA from 1 species
AAAAGAACUUUGAAGAGAGAGUUCAAGAGGACGUGAAAUCACCUGGAUCGAAGCGGAUAGAGUUGACGAAACCUUGGGCAUUCAGAUCGUGCGUUGCUGUGCUUGAGUUGGCUGGCGUCUUCCAUGGCGCUGUCAGWCCGACAGACGGUGGCGUUUCGAAUUGCACUUGCCCUUGGUAUACGCUGAGGAGGCCGAUUGCCCCUUCCGAAGCGCGUAGCGUGGUCCGCCUUGUGCGGUGUCCUGUUGCGUGUGUAGGUUGAUGUGGCGGUUGGUCGCUCAUCGGAUCCUGCCUUUGCGCGGGGUGUCGUUGUUAGUGGUGUAUGCGGUGUCGGAGGCGUGCCUCCUGGUGUCGUAUGCGCGGCUACUGCGGCUUCCUGCUAGGAUUCGCUCUCGGUGUGGAAAAGUCGACCACCUAUCCGACCCGUCUUGAAACACGGACCAAGAAGUCUAGUAUGUGCGCGAGUCAUUGAGUGGAAAACUCAUAUGGCGCAAUGAAAGUAAAGGUUACUGUUGGGUGACUGAUAUGUGAUCCGUGGCUUAACGGCCGCGGCGCAACAUAGCCCCAUGCUAAUUGCUUGCAAUGGUGUGGAGGUAGAGCGUACAUACUGGGACCCGAAAGAUGGUGAACUAUGCUUGAGCAGGGCGAAGUCAGAGGAAACUCUGAUGGAGGCCCGCAGCGGUUCUGACGUGCAAAUCGAUCGUCGGACUUGAGUAUAGGGGCGAAAGACUAAUCGAACCAUC